rnacentral:lncRNA from 1 species
UUUUGAUGGGUCGGUGUUUCCUUUUCAGUAGGACAUGACGACAUGCGUGCAGCCGCCGGCGGUGCGAUCCACACCACCAACAUCGUGCGCACCGCUCCUGUGCCCGCCGGUUCAUUGUCGCUGUACUCCCUGUGCUGCAGCCGCGCCACCACCACCCCGUGCGUCACCCUCAGGUGGCGUCGUCUUGCCCGCAUCUUCUGAAGAUGCACCGCAUGCCUCGACACGGGCCCCCGCAUCGCCUACUAUGGCUGCAGCACACACCCCGCC